GACGUAGGGCGCAAGCGUUGUCCGGAAUUAUUGGGCGUAAAGAGCUCGUAGGCGGCUUGUUGCGUCGACUGUGAAAACCCGUGGCUCAACCGAUGUGGUCUGCAGUCGAUACGGGCAGGCUAGAAUUCGGUAGGGGAGACGUGGAAUUCCUGGUGUAGCGGUGAAAUGCGCAGAUAUCAGGAGGAACACCGGUGGCGAAGGCGGGUCUCUGGGCCGAUACUGACGCUGAGGAGCGAAAGCGUGGGGAGCGAACAGG
rnacentral:rRNA from 1 species